rnacentral:rRNA from 1 species
AGUGGCGGACGGGUGAGUAACGCGUAGGAACGUGUCUUGGGGUGGGGGAUAACGCUGGGAAACUGGCGCUAAUACCGCAUAUGGGCUGAGGCCCAAAGCCUUCGGGUGCCUUGAGAGCGGCCUGCGUCCGAUUAGCUAGUUGGUGGGGUAAAGGCUUACCAAGGCGUCGAUCGGUAGCUGGUCUGAGAGGACGAUCAGCCACACUGGGACUGAGACACGGCCCAGACUCCUACGGGAGGCAGCAGUGGGGAAUAUUGGACAAUGGGCGCAAGCCUGAUCCAGCAAUUCCGCGUGGGUGAAGAAGGUCUUCGGAUUGUAAAGCCCUUUCGACAGGGACGAUGAUGACGGUACCUGUAGAAGAAGCCCCGGCUAACCUCGUGCCAGCAGCCGCGGUAAUACGAAGGGGGCUAGCGUUGCUCGGAAUUACUGGGCGUAAAGGGCGCGUAGGCGGCGGUGUUAGUCAGGCGUGAAAUUCCUGGGCUCAACCUGGGGACUGCGCUUGAUACGGCAUUGCUUGAGGAUGGAAGAGGCUCGCGGAAUUCCCAGUGUAGAGGUGAAAUUCGUAGAUAUUGGGAAGAACACCGGUGGCGAAGGCGGCGAGCUGGUCCAUUACUGACGCUGAGGCGCGACAGCGUGGGGAGCAAAC